rnacentral:rRNA from 1 species
AUGGACCAGACGCAGCGGCUGCCCGAAGACGUGCUCGCGGACGUCCUCCGCUGUCUUCCACCGCGCAGUCUUGCUGCAGCCCGCUGCGUGUGCCGCUCCUGGCACGCCAUCGUCGACGCUCAUCGUCUCCUGGACCGGGACCUCCUCCCGCUCUCCUUGGCCGGCUUCCUCAUCAACUUCUGUGAGCUUGACUUCACGGAGUUCUUCUUCCACCCCUCAGCAAUCCGCCGCUAUGCCGACCUCCACUUCAUGCCCACGGACGACAUCUCUGUGGAGGACGUAUGCAACGGCCUAGUUUUGCUAGAUCAUUAUGUGGUCAAUCCCGCCACACGACGUUGGGCAAGCCUGCCACCACGCCCAUCUCCUCCCUUGGGGUUUGAGCUCUUUUAUUAUGAACGAAACUACAUCGUGUUUGAUCCCACGGUGUCGCCGCACUACCAAGUGCUUAGGUUCCUACAUGUACCCCCCCGUGGGCGUGGACUGGAUGCAGAGACGAAGCAACAGCAAUGGCCUCCGUCUCCAUACAUGAUGCAUGUUUUCUCUUCAGAAACAACAAGGUGGGAAGAGAGAUCGUUCAUCCGACAGGGAGAUGCCCUGGGGACUCUUGCCGACAUGUUACUGCCUCCGCUGCCAAUGCCAGAUGAACUAUACGCUGUGUACUGGCAUGGUGAAAUCUAUGUGCACUGUCAUUUUGUUAUGAGAAUAUCGUUAUCAAGUGGCACGUACCAAGCAAUUAAACUGCCAACAGAUGUUGAUCAGCACCGGUGGGCACAGGUUCUUCUUGGAAGAUCAGAGAAGGGGGUGUAUUUUGCAACACUUGAUGGUCAAUGUCAGCUUCGAGUUUGGAUACUCACUGAAUUACCCUGCGGUCAGAGUGAGUGGCUUCUGAAGCAUGAUAACAACCUUCACCAAAUCCCACCACCUCAAAACUAUGAUCCACAAGUUCACAGGCCCUGCUGGAUUAUGGCAGACAUCAAUCCAGCUAUUUACAGUACAGUAAAAGACAAGUUGGAGUUGAAUUCAGACCAUGGGAUCAUCUUUGAAACUAGACUUGAAGGGCACAGGUGGGAUGAACAUAUUAAGAUCCUUGGAUUUCAUCCUUACAAAGAAAUUAUUUAUUUCAGUGAAACGUUGAACAGAGGAUAUGCCUAUCAUCUAGAUGAACUCAAGCUAGAAGACUUGGGCAACAUGCGCCCAAAAAGAUUGAAUGACUGCUAUAAUAAGGAACUAGAAAGAUCUAUUCCAUAUACACCUUGUUUGUUGGGCCCGUAA